GCAGAAUUUCAGAUCUGAAAUGUUAUGUGUAUCCAGAAACCUCCCCAAAGAUGCUCAUAUCAGCUUUAUCAACAUUUAUCUUAAUUUGGAAGCAACCAAGUUUUUCUGAGGAGGAAAAUGGAAAUUAAGCUGGGAGAUGUAUCAACAAGGAAUUAUUGAACACCUGAAAGGACUCCUGUACUAUCUUAGGAAGAAAAUGAACCAGGAAGCAUCUUUACACCCAGGAAGAAGAACCACAUUAGAAGACACGGGACAGAGUUAAGCCUUCUCUGUACUGAGCAUCUCGAGCUAUUUCUCAACCCUAUCCAAGUAAGACAGCCGACCAGUGAAGGAACAUCACAGUAACAGCAAGAUCCCAACCUUAUCAAAGAACCACUGCUCAUUGCCGCGGAAGCCUCAGAAGGUGCCAGGUAACAGGAGGCAGGAUCCUUUCAUUCCAACCACUCUCCUGUGCUUGUUUGUCUCCAGCCUGCUGCAGGAGAUGAGACUGGUUGCUUGCUCUGGGGUGAAGGCUGCCUUGUCUGCUUAAUUUCCGGUAGGCCCUCUGUGCCCAGGGAGAGAGCAUGCUUUGCUUGUGAUGUCGGUAAUGAACUGCCGCUGGGAACAAAUUAAUGAGUGUGUCAGAAACGGCGGUGGAACUGCAUCACGAUUUAUAAACACCACAGUAAAAAAUGCGAGUACAGCUCUGACACAAAAGCACAGGAACUGUGAAGAAGCAAGCGCCUCUCCUAAUGAGAGAAGAAUUUAAAAUAACAUCAUUCUGCUCUGACCAGCAUUGCCAACAGAAUUCCUGAACCCACAAAUUGUUUUUUUUUUAAAUUUUCAUAUUUGAUUCAUAGAGAAACAUAGGUAGUUUACACGUUGCUUUUUAUAUUUGUAAAC